ensembl:snRNA U6 U6 spliceosomal RNA
GCACUAGUUCUCUAGUGCAUAUACUAAAAUUGGAACGAUACAGAGAAGAUUAGCAUGGCCCCUGGCGCAAGG